rnacentral:lncRNA from 1 species
AGCUUAAGGAAGCAGAUAGUUUCUGUUCUCCGAAGUCCGUAUUCUGAUUCAUCAGCUAUUGGUAAGUUAAGUUUUCGAUUAGCAACGGAAUUCGAGUUAGUUAGUGACUUAGUUAGCUACUUAAUUAUCUUGAAACGGAAUGUUUUAUGAUUUUUUCUAAUUUUGUUUUUUGUGGUGAUGAUUUGGUUGUAUUUCUGUUCUUUCAAUUUCUAGGAUUUUCUGGCAAGACUCUGAGAACCCCGUUAAAGCUCAAUGAGAACGAAUCCAGUGGUCUUACCAAUUCAAGGUUUAUCUUCUAUCCUUAGACUAGUUUGGUUUAUGAACAAGUUUAUGGGAUUAUAAUGUGGGGAUUAUAAUAUGGGGAUCAAAUAAUGGCGGGAAUAUUUUGGUGGAUAUUUGAUAGAUGUUUGGUUCAUUUGACUAAAAAUGUGAUGUGCGGGGUAUAAUAUAAGCAUGUCUUUUGUUAAGCUAGAUAAACUUCGAUA